rnacentral:sRNA from 1 species
AUUAGUCUCCACGUCUACAACCAUACAAUCUCAUCCUCAUUAUAUUAGGAACGAUAGACAGCUUGCAACUUUUAUGCACAAAUUCUCACAUAGUGGAGGAUUGCUUCAGUUAUGUUUGACUGUAGAGCAAAUUUCUGUGACAGUUGAGCAGGUUUUUCAAUAACCUUCUUGUGUUAUAAUUUUAAAAAUCCUUGUAAAAUCAUAUUAACGUUUUUAAACCUCUUUUAAAAAUCCUUGUAAAAUCAUUAUUAACGUUUUUAAACCCCUUUUAAAAAUCCUUGUAAAAUUAUUAUUAAGUCAGUGAUUGUGUUUAUUACAGGCUGAGACGACUUCAAAUCCUUUUGCUUCUCAUUCUGCAUCUACUACUCAGGUAAUAAUCCUUUUAAAAAAUCUUGUAAAAUCAUUAUUAACGUUUUUAAACCCCUUUUAAAAAUCCUUGUAAAAUCAUUAUUUAAGAUAGAUUGAUGUUUGAGGUAAGCUUUUUAUUUUGGCAGCCGAGGUUAACCUCUAGGAUUAUUGAGGCGUGUGUAUCUGAAACAUCUAGUAUUCUUGAUCAACAGUAUUCUAGUUCUGCGUUUUCAACUGGUCUAAGUGAUGCUGAUUCUUUGUUUAUUGGAAAAAU